rnacentral:rRNA from 1 species
UGGGGAAUAUUGCACAAUGGGCGAAAGCCUGAUGCAGCAACGCCGCGUGAGUGAUGAAGGCCUUCGGGUUGUAAAGCUCUGUCUUUUGGGACGAUAAUGACGGUACCAAAGGAGGAAGCCACGGCUAACUACGUGCCAGCAGCCGCGGUAAUACGUAGGUGGCAAGCGUUGUCCGGAUUUACUGGGCGUAAAGGAUGCGUAGGCGGAUUUUUAAGUGAGAUGUGAAAUACCCGGGCUUAACUUGGGUGCUGCAUUUCAAACUGGGAAUCUAGAGUGCGGGAGAGGAGAAUGGAAUUCCUAGUGUAGCGGUGAAAUGCGUAGAGAUUAGGAAGAACACCAGUGGCGAAGGCGAUUCUCUGGACCGUAACUGACGCUGAGGCAUGAAAGCGUGGGUAGCAAACAGGAUUAGAUACCCUGGUAGUCCACGCCGUAAACGAUGAGUACUAGGUGUAGGAGGUAUCGACCCCUUCUGUGCCGCAGUUAACACAAUCAAGUACUCCGCCUGGGAAGUACGAUCGCAAGAUUUAAAA